AGGUGCUGCACGGCUGUCGUCAGCUCGUGUCGUGAGAUGUUGGGUUAAGUCCCGCAACGAGCGCAACCCUCGUGUUUAGUUACUAACAGUUCGGCUGAGGACUCUAGACAGACUGCCUGGGUAACCAGGAGGAAGGUGAGGACGACGUCAAGUCAUCAUGGCCCUUACGGCCAGGGCUACACACGUGCUACAAUGGGGUAUACAAAGAGCCGCAAUACCGUGAGGUGGAGCAAAUCUCAUAAAAUAUCUCCCAGUUCGGAUAGCAGUCUGCAACUCGACUGCUUGAAGUUGGAAUCGCUAGUAAUCGUGAAUCAGCAACGUCACGGUGAAUACGUUCCCGGGUCUUGUACUCACCGCCCGUCACACCAUGGGAAUUGAAUUCAUUCGAAGCGGGGAUGCUAAAAUAGCUACCUUCCACAGUGGAUUUAGUGACUAGGGUGAAGUCGUAACAAGGUA
rnacentral:rRNA from 1 species